rfam:Otolemur garnettii contig101540, whole genome shotgun sequence.
AGAUAAUUUAAAUUAAAACACAGAAAAGCUGGGUUUAAGAAGUACAAUAUUAAAACAAAAGCCAUGAGUCUUUUAAGCCCAGUGUAUAAAGAUACACUCUGAUUUAUAACUCAGAGGCACAAUA